ACAGAGGGGGCAAGCGUUGUUCGGAAUUACUGGGCGUAAAGGGCGCGUAGGCGGCCCGCUAAGUCGAACGUGAAAUCCCCAGGCUCAACCUGGGAACUGCGUCCGAUACUGGCAGGCUUGAAUCCGGGAGAGGGAUGUGGAAUUCCAGGUGUAGCGGUGAAAUGCGUAGAUAUCUGGAGGAACACCGGUGGCGAAGGCGGCAUCCUGGACCGACAUUGACGCUGAAUGGCGAAAGCUAGGGGAGCAAACAGGA
rnacentral:rRNA from 1 species